rnacentral:rRNA from 1 species
AGCGAACGCUGGCGGCAGGCCUAACACAUGCAAGUCGAACGAACCUUUCGGGGUUAGUGGCGGACGGGUGAGUAACACGUGGCAACGUGCCUUUAGGUUCGGAAUAACUCAGGGAAACUUGUGCUAAUACCGAAUGUGCCCUUCGGGGGAAAGAUUUAUCGCCUUUAGAGCGGCCCGCGUCUGAUUAGCUAGUUGGUUGAGGUAAUGGCUCACCAAGGCGACGAUCAGUAGCUGGUCUGAGAGGAUGAUCAGCCACAUUGGGACUGAGACACGGCCCAAACUCCUACGGGAGGCAGCAGUGGGGAAUCUUGCGCAAUGGGCGAAAGCCUGACGCAGCCAUGCCGCGUGAAUGAUGAAGGUCUUAGGAUUGUAAAAUUCUUUCACCGGGGACGAUAAUGACGGUACCCGGAGAAGAAGCCCCGGCUAACUUCGUG